rnacentral:rRNA from 1 species
UACAGAGGUCUCAAGCGUUGUUCGGAUUCAUUGGGCGUAAAGGGCGCGUAGGCGGCGCGGUAAGUCGGGUGUGAAAUCUCGGAGCUUAACUCCGAAACUGCAUUCGAUACUGCCGUGCUUGAGGACUGGAGAGGAGACUGGAAUUUACGGUGUAGCGGUGAAAUGCGUAGAUAUCGUAAGGAAGACCAGUGGCGAAGGCGGGUCUCUGGACAGUUCCUGACGCUGUAGAGCGAAAGCGUGGGGAGCGAACAGG